GAGCCACUCAAGCUGGUGUGCAGGAGGAGACCCUCAAGGGCACACCAUGUGACGGGGUAGACUGGCCCCGCACUAGGACCAAGAGGGUUAACCCUUCCCUGCUGACAGAAGAAGCCAUGCCCCUGAGGCUCUGCUGGGCAUGCGCCAACCGGGAGUCAAGUAUAAAAGCCUGCAGAGCUGCUCAGUCAGGGCUGGUGGCUGAGGAAGGAGGAUGCCCAGUGGAGGCUCCAGCCCAGGAGCAGUUGCGACUCUUACCGGAGAGAGCUGAGGAGCCAGGGACUGGGACCGGAGGCCAGCAGCUGUUGGAAUCCCAGGGAGUGCCGGGUGCUGAAGAACCUGGAGACCCUGAUGCCACGGGGACUGCUACAUUUGGAGAACCGGGGGAAGAAACAAGGCAGCCCUCCCAAGAAACCUUCAGCAGAGGAUUGCAGAAUACCUCCAGGAAAGUUUCCUAGAGAUCUCUAUGGAGGAUUCCUGGAACAUCCCAGUGUUCAUAAACAAACUUUUCCUCAGGGCCCCCUCUGCCUAGCUAAACAGGGGAAUAAGAAGCCGAUACAAACUGUACCUGUGUUGGUUAUUUCAAUCCUUCUUCUACCCUGAUUAAAAAAGCAGAGCAUUACCUCAUGCCUUUCUGCAGCAUCGAAGCACAAUGAACAAGGCUACGUUUUAGUCACAGGUAAUUUUAAUAAGUCACAGACAGUAAACAAAAAUUCACAGCCAGUGACAUGUCCAUGACUUUUACUAAAAAUACCCGUGACUAAAACUUGGGAGGAGGCUGCUGGGGGGCCCCAUGGGUGCUGGAGGCAGGUGGGCAGUGGCCCAGCUCCCCCGCUGGAGUUGGGUUGUGUGUGGUGGGUCCGGCAGGCUCCCUACCUAGCACCAUACCGCCCCCACAGCUCCCAUUGACUGCCUCCCAACCAAUGCCCUGGGUGGAGGCAGUGCACAGAGCUGCCUGGCCACGCCUCCACCUAGCAGCUGAGCAAGGGGGACGUCACUGCUUCCAGGGAGCACCCAGGUAAGCGCUGCCCAGAGCCUGCCUCACCCCUCCCUUGCCUUCUGGUACGUGUGCCUCAGCUCCUUGAUCUUUGCAUGGCACUGUUGCGUGUCCCUAUCAUACCCCUUCUCCUCCAUGCCACAAGCAUGGUAUCAAAGUUCCUGCAGCUAGAGCAAAGCUCUGACAGCACAGACUCCUCUCUCCGAAAACCGAGCAGAUCCACCACUUCACUACACUGACACUACGUCGCUCUACCUACAUCGCCCUAAGCACCAUACCUUGUGGUGAGGUGAUUUUAUUAGGUUGGUGGAGCAGGAGAGUUCAGUUGGCAGGAGGAACAUUGCAGUGUGUACACCUCUAUAGUUAGUUCAAUGUACCUGCCUUCUGUCAACUUAACUUUGUAGGAUAGACGGGCCCUAAUACUCAGCACUUAGUAUAAUAUGUACUAUAUGUAACUAAGAGAAAAUAACAGAGUACACAGCAAUAAUACAGUACAAUAAAAGUGUCUG